CCUACGGGUGGCUGCAGUGAGGAAUAUUGGUCAAUGGUCGGGAGACUGAACCAGCCAAGCCGCGUGAGGGAUGAAGGUACAGAGUAUCGUAAACCUCUUUUGUCAGGGAACAAAGGCGGGGACGUGUCCCCGGAUGAGUGUACCUGAAGAAAAAGCAUCGGCUAACUCCGUGCCAGCAGCCGCGGUAAUACGGAGGAUGCGAGCGUUAUCCGGAUUUAUUGGGUUUAAAGGGUGCGCAGGCGGUCUGUUAAGUCAGCGGUCAAAGCCCGGGGCUCAACCCCGGCCCGCCGUUGAAACUGGCAGUCUCGAGUUGGAGAGAAGUAUGCGGAAUGCGCGGUGUAGCGGUGAAAUGCAUAGAUAUCACACAGAACACCGAUUGCGAAGGCAUCUGACGAAUCGGAGAUUGACGCUGAUGCACGAAAGCGUGGGUAUCGAACAGGAUUAGAUACCCGUGUAGUC
rnacentral:rRNA from 1 species